rnacentral:sRNA from 1 species
CAUGUUCAUACUUUCUUAAUGUUGCUGGAAAUAUAAUAUCCAGUAUCCAUUACUCUAAAAAUAUAUAGUAUAUAUCCCACAUAUUUUCUCCUUGUACGGUGCAGAAGAAACACGAAAGACCAAAUACUAGUAAGUAUCCCCUGGAACUUUUGGCGGGGAAAUCCACAUGACUUAAAAACCCUAAUUCUUACUGGAACCUUUACUGUAUCGUUUUUUUCGGAUUCAUCGUGUUUUGAGUCACAGCAGGAAAGCUAGCUAUGACACACAACGCACACCACACAUAGUUAUAAGAGAAGUCCUCAUAGGAGAAACUCAACAGCAGAGUCGAGUCAUUCCAACCCCCUCCUGCUCUCCCCCACAGAAAUCAAAAGGGCUAAAAAAAAAAAAAAAAAAAAAAAAAAAAAGAAAAAAGGAGUCAUUCUCAUCACCAACAGUUAGUUACCAAGUGAAUAAAUAUCAAAGAACAUUCAAAGAAUUGGGAAGUUAUUCUGCAUGUUAACUACAAGUACGGAGUACAGUACAGUAACUUCUGUGGUGUAACGAUAUCAACGGCCCCCUUCUGAAAUAUCUCUAACUAUCAAAUGGAUCCAUUAAAUGUAAUUUAAUAAUGCGGAGGGGCAUACCCACUCCAGUGAUGGAGACAGGAUUUUCUACCGGUUAGAAAAGAAGAGAAAAGAAAAAAAUCAAGUUUUUUUUUUUUUUUGUGUGUUGGCGUAAAUAAAGGAUUACUGUACAGGCAGCCCACAUAAGGCCUUCAAUUUUUCAUCUUCCCCCUUUCCCCUUCCCCCCAGGAGCAAUUCUGUUCCAAGGAACUGAAUUGAAGUAGCUGCAUCACCAAGAAGAGGGAAAGGUAUCCCCCACAUCCACUCAUCCAUACAUAAUCCGUACAAAGUUUUCAAAUCCGAUGGUCGAAGGCAGGAAGAAAACAGGAAGAAAACAGGAAGAAAACGAGAAGCAAAAGCAAGGGCAUCACCUCAGCAUUGGAAGAAAAAAGAAAGAAAAAGGAUAAGAUGUACCCGCACCUACCCCACCUACCUAGAGCUUGUUUCGUGAGGAGUGGGGGGGCAAACGAGGUAGACUAGAGAUAACAAAAUGGAAAGAUAAAAACAAUAAAUGAUAGAUAAAAUAAAAUCAAUCAAUAAAUAAAUAAAUAAAUACAUGCAAAGAGAACGAUUUGGGGGAAUAAAUGUAACUGUUAAAUUUUUCACAAGCGAAGCCACCCGAUCGAUCAACAUCAGAUCAGAUCAAGGUGGUAAUGGGAAGUUAUAAAAAACUCGGCUGGUUAAGAAACGAAUGGUAAACCAGAUGAUAGAGUUGACUGGGGUAGGGGUAAAACGAACGCUCGAAAAGAAAAACCAUAAAACCAUAACAGUAAAACCCAUUCACAAUUUAACCGCGCAGGGGGAUAGAAACAAACCAGCCAACCAGUAAAUCAAUAAUAAAUCGUGACUUGAAAGGGGAGGGGGAAAAAACAGUAUUCAGAGCGUUCUAUACAAAUCUCUCCGUUUCUCAUCCCUAUAUCCACUCAUUCACGCUAACCAGCCUCUCCGCAGCACCACCGCCACCAUACCCCUUGCCGCCGCUAUACUCCACAGUACCAAACGUAGACCGAUACAACCCUUCGAUCUCAGCAAUGUACUCGUCCACCGCAAACUUAUACAGUCCCUUCUCCACCAGCAUCUGCUCCUCCUCUACAAUCACAGCGUUGAGUACCGUAGCGAAUUCCUCAGCGACCUCGUUGACCUGCUCUAGCUCCUUGCCAAAAGGGUGUGGCUGUGUGGAGAUGGAGGUAGAGGACUCGGGGACUUGGCGGAGGCGUUCUUGGCUUAGUCGAGCGGAUCGCGUGCUGCUUUGGGUGCUGUGGGACCGGUUGAUUGAUUGGGAGCGAGAGUGGGAGUGGGAGUGGGAUUGAGAGCGGGAGAGGGAGGAAGUUGAUGGUGUAUGUGAAUGGGACGAGCCCUUAGAUAGUGAUCGCUGGCGGGCUAAUUCCUGAUGCGAUCUUUUUGUAUGCGACAAUGAUCGACGGGGCAGCGUUGGGGUUUGAGAGACAGAAGAGAUUGAAGAGCGGGUGUCGCGGUGUGUGGUGUUGGAGCGCUUGGGAGAGUUGAAGUAGCCAGAGAGAUGGUUUGGCUCUGGAGUGGUGGGCGAGUUCUCUUCGGGCGAGAGAUCCGGGGAGGUCAUCGGGGUGCCGGAGACGUGUGAAGGAGAGGGAAUAGAGGACGAGGAUGAGGCGGAAGAAGGGUUUGUAAUAUCUGAGUCUGAACCAGAACGGACAGAGGAAGAUGAUGAAUUGGAGGGGGAUGUCAAAGUUUUCUUGAGUUCUGGCGAUGGCUGCUGGGCUUGGGGGACCUUUGCGUUAUUGAGUUUAGAUCUGGGAAGGUCAGGAGCAUUGUAUGCGAGGAGGUUUGUGGUCGAUAACAACUGCACCGGUAAAGAGAUAUCUUUCCGUUUGAUCGUUCCGGCAGCGAAUUUCUGUUGGUUUUCGCGAUAAGGCAUGGGGGAAGACACCACAAGUGUCUUUUGCUGGCGCUUGGUGAACGCCCUGCUCAGGGGAUUCGACAUGGUGGAAGUCGCCAUGGCCAAUAUCUCUCUGAUCUGCUAAACGAAAGUUGGGCUUAUAUGGAUUGUUCAAGGGUUGGUUUCUGGAUGAAAUCGUGUGCCACGGUGAGAGAAGAUGGCCACAGUGCGAUGGGAGGGUUGGCGCUUCCCUUUUAGAUAUCUCCACACACCGGUUGACGCAGCCGCCAGAUGAAAAAAAAAAUGGGGAAUGUAAAUUGAAACGACAAGAAAACCCAAGGGGUUAUAUUCAAGUUCCCAGGCAACGCAACCCCGCGAGCGAGUUUCGGGGCUCGGUUUCGCAAUAAAGUAGCUUAAAAAAAAUCGAUCGAUGCCCUGCGCUCUAUGUUUUCCUGG